GACGAACGCUGGCGGCGUGCUUAACACAUGCAAGUCGAACGGAGUGGCGAACGGGUGAGUAACACGGGGGUGAUCUGCCUUGCACUUCGGGAUAAGCUUGGGAAACUGGGUCUAAUACGGGAAAGUGCAAGAUGAGCUCGCGGCCUAUAAGUUUGGUGGUGGGGUAAUGGCCUACCAAGGCGUCGACGGGUAGCCGGCCUGAGAGGGUGUACGGCCACAUUGGGGCUGGGGUACCGCCCAGACUCCUACUGGAGGCAGCAGUGGGGAAUAUUGCACAAUGGGCGGAAGAGUGAUGCAGCGACGCCGCGUGUGGGAGGAAGGCCUUCGGGUUGUAAACUCCUUUCGACAGGGACGCGGUACCUGCAGAAGAAGCACCGGCUAACUACGUGCCAGCAGCCGCGGUAAUAC
rnacentral:rRNA from 1 species